rnacentral:rRNA from 1 species
GACGAACGCUGGCGGCGUGCUUAACACAUGCAAGUCGAACGAAGUGGCGAACGGGUGAGUAACGUGUAAUCAACCUGCCCUUCAUAGGGGGACAACAGUUGGAAACGACUGCUAAUACCGCAUACUGAUGGAGGGGAUUGUGUCUGAUUAGCUAGUUGGAGGGGUAACGGCCCACUAAGGCGAUGAUCAGUAGCCGGUCUGAGAGGGUGAACGGCCACAAUGGGACUGAGACACUGCCCAGACUCCUUAGGGAGUCAGCAGGGGGGGAUCUUCCGCAAUGGACGGAAGUCUUACGGAGCAACGCCGCGUGAGUGAUGACGGCCGUCGGGUUGUAAAGCUAUGUUAAUCGGGACGCGGUACCGGAAGAGAAAGCCACGGCUAACUACGUGCCAGCAGCCGCGGUAAUUC